rnacentral:rRNA from 1 species
AGUGAACGCUGGCGGUAGGCCUAACACAUGCAAGUCGAACGGCAGCACAGUAAGAGCUUGCUCUUACGGGUGGCGAGUGGCGGACGGGUGAGGAAUACAUCGGAAUCUACUUUUUCGUGGGGGAUAACGUAGGGAAACUUACGCUAAUACCGCAUACGACCUACGGGUGAAAGCAGGGGAUCUUCGGACCUUUCGCGAUUGAAUGAGCCGAUGUCGGAUUAGCUAGUUGGCGGGGUAAGGGCCCACCAAGGCGACGAUCCGUAGCUGGUCUGAGAGGAUGAUCGGCCACACUGGAACUGAGACACGGUCCAGACUCCUACGGGAGGCAGCAGUGGGGAAUAUUGGACAAUGGGCGAAAGCCUGAUCCAGCCAUACCGCGUGGGUGAAGAAGGCCUUCGGGUUGUAAAGCCCUUUUGUUGGGAAAGAAAAGCAGCAGGUUAAUACCCCGCUGUUCUGACGGUACCCAAAGAAUAAGCACCGGCUAACUUCGUG